UACGUAGGGAGCGAGCGUUGUCCGGAUUUAUUGGGCGUAAAGAGCUCGUAGGUGGUUCGGUAAGUCGGAUGUGAAAUCUCCAGGCUCAACCUGGAGGGGUCAUUCGAUACUGCCGUGACUAGAGGUCGGUAGGGGAGUGUGGAAUUCCUGGUGGAGCGGUGAAAUGCGCAGAUAUCAGGAGGAACACCCGUAGCGAAGGCGGCACUCUGGGCCGAUACUGACACUGAGGAGCGAAAGCGUGGGGAGCGAACAGG
rnacentral:rRNA from 1 species